rnacentral:rRNA from 1 species
UUAAUUGAAGAGUUUGAUCAUGGCUCAGAUUGAACGCUGGCGGCAGGCCUAACACAUGCAAGUCGAGCGGCAGCACAGAGGAACUUGUUCCUUGGGUGGCGAGCGGCGGACGGGUGAGUAAUGCCUGGGAAAUUGCCCGGUAGAGGGGGGAUAACCAUUGGAAACGAUGGCUAAU